rnacentral:rRNA from 1 species
UACGAGGGGGGCGAGCGUUGUUCGGAAUUAUUGGGCGUAAAGGGUGCGUAGGCGGUUUGGUAAGUCUUGUGUGAAAUCUCCAGGCUCAACUUGGAGUCUGCACGAGAAACUGCCGGGCUUGAGUGUGGGAGAGGUGAGUGGAAUUCCUGGUGUAGCGGUGAAAAUGCGUAGAUAUCAGGAGGAACACCUGUGGCGAAAGCGGCUCACUGGGACCACAACUGCGCUGAUGCACGAAAAGCUAGGGGGGAGCAAAACGGGGAU